GAUGAACGCUAGCGGCAGGCUUAAUACAUGCAAGUCAAGGGGGUAGCAAUACAACCGGCGCACGGGUGAGUAACGCGUACACAACAUACCAUAUACUGGGGUAUAGCUUUGGGAAACUGAAGGUAAUCCCCCAUAACAUUGCGAGAGGGCAUCUGAUUGCAAUUAAAGUUUCGGCGGUAUAUGAUUGGUGUGCGUUUGAUUAGCUAGUUGGUAGGGUAACGGCCUACCAAGGCGACGAUCAAUAGCUGGCGUGAGAGCGCGACCAGCCACACUGGAACUGAGACACGGUCCAGACUCCUACGGGAGGCAGCAGUAGGGAAUAUUGGACAAUGGGCGCAAGCCUGAUCCAGCCAUGCCGCGUGAUAGAUGAAGGCCCUCUGGGUUGUAAAUAUCUUUUAUCUGGGAAGAAACUCCUCUAUUCUUAGAGGCCUGACGGUACCAGAGGAAUAAGCACCGGCUAACUCCGUGCCAGCAGCCGCGGUAAUGUA
rnacentral:rRNA from 1 species